GCAUCCAUAGCUCAGCUGGAUAGAGUACUCGGCUACGAACCGAGCGGUCGGAGGUUCGAAUCCUCCCUGGAUGCA
rfam:Kluyvera intestini strain GT-16 tig00000000, whole genome shotgun sequence.